rnacentral:lncRNA from 1 species
AAGAAAGAACCAGAGUUUUGUUUCACUUUAGUUUACGUUUUUUUGUCCUUUUGGAUGUUUUGAUACUAAAAAAGGGAAGCAAAGAAGAAGGGAAAUGGAGGGCAAAGAAGAGGAUGUUAGAUUGGGAGCCAACAAGUUCACAGAGAGGCAACCAAUUGGGACCGCGGCUCAGACUCAAGAUGACGGGAAAGACUAUUCUGAACCACCACCGGCUCCAUUUUUCGAGCCUGGCGAGUUAACCUCAUGGUCCUUUUAUAGGGCUGGGAUUGCCGAGUUUGUGGCGACUUUCCUUUUCUUGUAUAUCACUAUUUUGACUGUUAUGGGAGUUGUUAAGGAAAAAACUAAGUGCCCAACUGUUGGGAUUCAAGGAAUUGCUUGGGCUUUUGGUGGUAUGAUCUUUGCUCUUGUUUACUGCACUGCUGGCAUUUCAGGUAAACUUUCUUUCCUCCCCCCUUGUUUGUUUCUCGAGAAAACCAGAAUGAAUAUGCAAUUCUUUUUCCUCUUUGGGUUCUUUUCAAAUAUAAAAACUGUAUGAAGAAAACUAAUAAAAAUGGCAUCUGUACGGUGGUGGUGGAUAGGUGGCCAUAUCAACCCGGCAGUGACUUUUGGACUGUUCUUGGCGAGGAAGCUGUCGUUGACGAGGGCAAUUUUCUACAUGGUGAUGCAGUGUUUGGGCGCCAUAUGCGGGGCGGGUGUGGUGAAAGGUUUCAUGGGGAAGACUCGGUACGGUAUGUUGGGCGGCGGAGCUAACUCGGUGGCUCAUGGCUACACAAAAGGUGAUGGCCUUGGUGCUGAAAUUGUCGGCACCUUUGUUCUUGUUUACACUGUCUUCUCAGCCACUGACGCCAAGCGCAGCGCCCGUGACUCUC